CAAGCGCCAAGCCGGGUUCUAAGAAAUACUGCCGCAAAAAAAAGGCUCCUCAAGGACCAGAAGCUCCAGGGUGCAGCAAUGGUUUAAAACAUGAAGACCAAGAUACGAGUGCCGAGCCAGGGGCUAAGAAAUGCGGGCG